rnacentral:snRNA from 1 species
GUGCCUCAAACUAAUGAGUAAGGAAAACCAAUUCGCCUUGCUAAUCGCUCGGCAGUUUGGCUUCUAAAAGGCAAUGGAAUGCCGUUGGAUGUUGGGAGGGGAGACUCUCCCUUCCCCUCGUCCACGGCAUUUCUUUGAAGCUCAAAUUUUUGCAUGGGCACAGGUCGCCCCCUUUUUUGUGUUUUUGCUGUGGGGACUUCGUUCGGUUGGGCUUUGCCGGGGAAGGAACCUGCAUGGAGCACCUACUUUUGUGUUUCCGCAGGGGAAUUUCCAGCUUGGCCCUCCUUGGAUGUUUUCUCUGCUUGUGCUGCGUGCACGUGUGUGUUUGCAAAAAACAAAAAAAAGGGUCGUUGCGAUCUGCCC